UUAGUGGAAGCGUCUGGAAAGGCGCGCGAUACAGGGUGACAGCCCCGUACACAAAAGCGCAUGUGCUGUGAGCUCGAUGAGUAGGGCGGGACACGUGGUAUCCUGUCUGAAUAUGGGGGGACCAUCCUCCAAGGCUAAAUACUCCUGACUGACCGAUAGUGAACCAGUACCGUGAGGGAAAGGCGAAAAGAACCCCGGCGAGGGGAGUGAAAAAGAACCUGAAACCGUGUACGUACAAGCAGUGGGAGCCCCACCACUAAGCCAGUGGUGAACUCCACAUACGCAUCCUUUGCUGAGGAUACGGUUAACGGAGCGAAAGCGACGUUCAACCUCAAAAGAAGCAGAGGGGGCUUAGUGGUGGGGUGACUGCGUACCUUUUGUAUAAUGGGUCAGCGACUUAUAUUCUGUAGCAAGGUUAACCGAAUAGGGGAGCCGKAGGGAAACCGAGUCUUAAUUGGGCGUUAAGUUGCAGGGUAUAGACCCGAAACCCGGUGAUCUAGCCAUGGGCAGGUUGAAGGUUGGGUAACACUAACUGGAGGACCGAACCGACUAAUGUUGAAAAAUUAGCGGAUGACCUGUGGCUGGGGGUGAAAGGCCAAUCAAACCGGGAGAUAGCUGGUUCUCCCCGAAAGCUAUUUAGGUAGCGCCUCGUGAAUUCAUCUCCGGGGGUAGAGCACUGUUUCGG
rnacentral:rRNA from 1 species